rnacentral:tRNA from 2 species
GGAGAAUUUUCAGGUAUUAUUUCACUGCUAAACCAAGGAAUAAUACCUACGCUGGCAGUGUAGAGGUCAGGGGUUCGAUCCCCCUCAGCUCCACCA